UACGUAGGGUGCGAGCGUUGUCCGGAAUUAUUGGGCGUAAAGAGCUUGUAGGCGGUUUGUCGCGUCUGCCCGUGAAAAGCCCAGGGCUUAACCCCUGGGUCUGCGGUGGGUACGGGCAGACUAGAGUACUGCAGGGGAGACUGGAAUUCCUGGUGUAGCGGUGGAAUGCGCAGAUAUCAGGAGGAACACCGGUGGCGAAGGCGGGUCUCUGGGCAGUAACUGACGCUGAGGAGCGAAAGCAUGGGGAGCGAACAGG
rnacentral:rRNA from 1 species